rnacentral:other from 1 species
AGUAUCUUGGAAUGUACGCCAAUCUCCUAUUUUCAACCGACACUAUGACAAAGGGAGUUCCGGUCUGCAGACGGAUGUCAGGCCCCUGCACAAGUCACGGGGAAGACAGAAAGCUGAAGCCGGGCACCCACCUGCUGAGAAGGCGGGUCUGAAAAUACGGGGAAAACGGCAUUUUGGGUCUUAA